GAUGGACGGGUCCUCGCAUCCACGCUGGUCGUGAAUCCACACACGUCCACCAGGUGGCGCUGUGACUGAGAGUGUAUGUCGGCCUCUGAAUCGCAUCUGGACCAGAGUCCAAUCAUACAUUUAAAAUUUCAGCCAGACUGUAGCAUGUUCAGAGCAGUUAUAGAGCAUUUCCUGUCUAUCCACCAGGUGGCGCUGUAACUCAGAGUGUAUUUCACACAGUGGAUGUGAUGAGGGUUGGACUCUGAUCACUCAUGAAAAGUUUCAGGCUGAUUUGAUGAUGUAGAGGCCAGUUAUACAGCAUUUACUGUCCCUCCAACAGGUGGCGCCGCGACUGAGAGUGUCUGUUGGCCUGUAGAUGUGAUCAGGAUUGGAUUGUGAUCACACAUGGAAAGUCUGAGGCAGAUUGGAGCAUGCAGAGGAGAGUUAUACAGCAGUUGAUGUUUCAUGGCGAAGCAUCAAAACGCUGAUGGUCGCCAUGGCCACGCCAUUUGGCUUCUGGUUAAACUUUUGAUAACUUUUCAUCACCAAGUCCUGCUGUGUGGACUGACAAAAUUUCAGGUCUCCUGGAAUUAUCCCCGAGGAGGUAUUAACUCUCAAAAAUGAGAAAAAUCAUCAAAAAUCUCACAAUUAAUCCAAGAUGGCCGACUUCCUGUUGGGUUUAGGACAUGGCUCCAAGAGGCUUUUUUGUGCGUCCUGAUGUGCUCUAUAAGCCUCCCAAACUUCAUGGAUGUAGGUGAAAUGUGCUGGGGGGGCUGUUUGUUAAAAAUACUGUAGGGGGCGCUAUAGCAUGUGCAGUGCCGAGAUGCAUACUGUGUCGUUCCUUGGGUCGAUGGUGAUGUGUGUGGUAAUUUUUGUGAGCAUUGGAGUAUUUCUAACCUGUCAAAUAGCACUUUGUUUUGCAUGGCGAUAUUUGGUUGCUACGGCAACAGCGUUGCAUGAAAUGUCACACCCUUGACAAUGUGGGAUUGUCAAGAGGUGAAGACUCGACUGACCAAUUUCCAGCAUGAUAUCACCAAGUUUGGGGCCAUUGUACCUGAAAAUAUAAGGCCUUAAACUUACUAUUACCAACAGGUGGCGCUAUGACUUUUUC